rnacentral:rRNA from 1 species
GACGAAGGGGGCUAGCGUUGUUCGGAAUUACUGGGCGUAAAGCGCGUGUAGGCGGUUGCCAAAGUCGGGUGUGAAAGCCUUGAGCUCAACUCAAGAAUUGCACUCGAUACUUGGUGACUAGAGGACCGGAGAGGAUAGUGGAAUUCCCAGUGUAGUGGUGAAAUACAUAGAGAUUGGGAAGAACACCAGUGGCGAAGGCGGCUAUCUGGACGGUUUCUGACGCUAAGACGCGAAAGCGUGGGGAGCAAACAGG